AUUAGAUACCCGGGUAGUCCUAGCCGUAAACGAUACUCGCUAGGUGUCGGCCACGGUGCGACCGUUGUCGGUGCCGUAGGGAAGCCGUGAAGCGAGCCACCUGGAAGUACGGCCGCAAGGCUGAAACUUAAAGGAAUUGGCCGGGGGAGCACCACAACGGGUGGAGCUUGCGGUUUAAUUGGAUUCAACGCCGGAAAUCUUACCGGGACCGACAGCAACAUGAAGGCCAGGCUGAAGACUUUGCCGGAUUAGCUG
rnacentral:rRNA from 1 species